GUCAAAUUGUGAAUUAUUCACUGAACUAUGACUAUGGGUUGUAGAUUGUUCAUAUGGGUAAGUUUGUUGGUUUGGUCGUGACAUAUUUUCAUUAUCACCAUUUAUUUGUACUUUAUUAGAUUGGUGAUUAUAUUGGUUAUCACCACAUCCAGUUGAAUGUUGUGAAUAAUUAUUUACUAUAUUUUGUCGUAUUUCAGAUAAUGCCUGACCUUCUGCCAAAGUAGAACGCCUUGUGCCUGUGAUUAGUCUAAUGUUGAGU
rnacentral:lncRNA from 1 species